rnacentral:rRNA from 1 species
GACGAACGCUGGCGGCGUGCUUAACACAUGCAAGUCGAGCGGUAAGGCCCUUUCGGGGGUACACGAGCGGCGAACGGGUGAGUAACACGUGGGUGACCUGCCCUCAGCUCUGGGAUAAGCCUGGGAAACUGGGUCUAAUACUGGAUAUGACUCCACGGUGCAUGUCGUGGGGUGGAAAGCCUUGUGCGGCUGAGGAUGGGCCCGCGGCCUAUCAGCUUGUUGGUGGGGNGAUGGCCUACCAAGGCGACGACGGGUAGCCGGCCUGAGAGGGCGACCGGCCACACUGGGACUGAGACACGGCCCAGACUCCUACGGGAGGCAGCAGUGGGGAAUCUUGCGCAAUGGGCGAAAACCUGACGCAGCGACGCCGCGUGAGGGAUGACGGCCUCGGUGUAAC